UUAAUUCCUCCAGUAAACGGGUCAUCAACAUCUCGACCUCGGACUCCCACUGGACUCGUAAGUCCUGCAAGCGGAGUCCCAUCUAGGCUUGGUUCGAUUUAUAGAACAUCGAGUAUCCCAACUCUUUCUGGUGCCGUAACACCAAAUAGGACACGAACACCUUCCAGUGGUUCAUCGACGCCCUUGCCACCGGCGUCAAAAUUAUCGCGCAAACCUUCAGGAGCUUCAGAUACUUCAGUCUCAGCUCUUCCAGUUUCAUCACGCAAAGGAACCAAACCCACGGCCAUUGAUCAGAGAGCUCCAUUUAGAUUGUAAUUAAAAUUUAAAACUAAAAAAAAACUUUAAAUCGUUUACGCGAGACGUAUGUUUAUAUUAUCAUCAAAAAAUUAUC